UAGAAGAGAACCCCACUGUCUUUGCAGAACUCUCAAAACGAAUCCCUAAGCUACUUUUUGAGCUCGAGAGAGUUUAAACAGAAGAUUGGAUAUUCAGCGUAGGAACCUUUCGGAAAUGAAAUUCUGGGGGAAGUUGGAUACAUGCAUUAAAGGCAUAAAAAUCUGGAUCAAAAGCCUUGCCAAAAGAAAAAGGAAAAAAGAAAAGUUCCCAUUAUCGUAUCAGCCAAAGACUACAGAAAUUAUUCCAGGCGGAACUGGUCCACGAGCGAAUGCUUCUUUGAUAAACUUCCAGUUUAUUUUACCAAAGGAUACGAAAUUGUUAAAUGGUGAACAUGA